CACUGCCCCGGCGGAGGGGUGGCCCGGGCAGAGCGUGCCCUUCCCGCCCCGGCGCGGCGCCCAGGCCGGGGCCAGGCGAGGGCGAAAGGGCCUCGAGCGGCUCCCCUGGUAGGGGAGCUCGCUGGGUUCGUGGGCGCCGCUGUGCUUUUGCAAACCAGACACCAGACGGAGCAGAGCGUCCCCCGCGGCACGGAUGGUGCCUUCCCGACAGAUGCAAGCUGAUACUCCGCUGGGCUUUGCGAAGGCAGCAAGGAUGCUCCAAGAGGAAUAAGGCGGGUGGAGGAAGGAGGUCCCCUGUUACACUGGGGCCACAGCAGAGAUGCCACAAUUGCACGAUAGGCUGAUCACAAGUGAACAAACCAGGUGCCUGCUAAAGGCAAGCGUCACAGGACAGAGGGUUAGGAGAGCGUGAUCCUGUCAGGGGGACUGCAGCAUGAGUUCACAUCUACACUGCCCCCCCAUCUGAGCGGGAUCCCAGGCGCUUCACUAUCUGUACAGACCACCGAGAUCUCUUUGCCCACCCACCAUUGAAAGGAAGCCAUCCUUGGGCUGGGAAUAGCAAUGUUUGACAAACCCAGCAAUGCUACCCUACAGAAGCAGAAUACUUCAGCUGGUUCAAAUGGCAGGGGGGAUUUGAUGGAACCAGAGUGGAAGUACCCAGAGGCAGAACUUGACCAAGACAAAGAGACCCGGCUUUUGUAACAAGUUUCAUGGGAUUUUCAGUGGCAUCUGAGUGACAGCCCCUGUAACACUGCAAUGGGAAGAGUGCCACCUACUGACUCACCAAUACAUCCAAGUGCUGACCUGAACCAACUCUUCUUAGCUUGCAAGAUCACACAGGGCGAGGUUGGCAGAGUUUCAGGAUAAAAUCAAUGCACGCCUCAAAAAUGGGAGGACUUGUGAGGUUCGGCAUUUAAGUGGCAAGCCAAUUAGAGGGUAUUUUGGGGACCCUCCAUGUAGUGUGAUUUACAUCAGUUGUUUCACCCUCUGUGUUCCCGAUUGUCAGUGGUACGCUGCUCCCUAGUGGGGAAUUGAUUCCGAGAGCUGCAGCGUGGCAGGUAAUGGGCAGUCGGGCAUGCAGAGCUGAGGUGACAAUACUAAUCAUGAUUAAUAACUGCACUUGGGAAGCACCGCGCACACACGGCACAGGCACCGCACAGUUAAACCACAACAACAAACAAGCAACAGCAACAAUUAAAACGGCAUAAAAAGGGCCGUAUAAAAAUCAAAAAACUGAUAAAAGGAAAUGGUGUAAGGCACACUAUUGAUCGUGGUGCGUUUAAAGAUCUAUGUGUCAGUGCUUGUGGAGAGAGAGCUGGGACACAGUGGUGAUUUGCCACGUGUUAACCCCGAGUUACCCACUUGGUGUGAACAUUUCAUUGGCAGGUGGGCAUGGCCAGGACUAGGCAGAGGUACUCGGCACAGCUCCGACCUGAGGCAGGCAGGAGAGCAAAAGGCGCCCUGAGAUGAUGUGCGGGUGAUUACAGAGGAAGGGUCUGUGAACCUGCUCCAGGGGCCUUUGCAAUCACUGAUGUCGGGGGUAUCAAGGGCACUCAGCACUGUCCCAUCUCACAGGAUCAGCCCCCAAAGCAGGCUCAGGAGUCCUGGGCAUGGGUGAUGUCAGGGCUGGAUUUUCUGAGUCAGCUACAGCUUCCCCUUUUCACUGCUUCACAUUCAGAAAGCUCCUUGGACCCGGCUGGGACCAUGCAUCUUACCAUUGCCCAGCCCCCAUCUGUCCCUCUGAUACUGUGGGCUUCCCUGCCCAGAGUUCUUAGUCACGCCCGUGGCAGCAUUAGCUGGACACUGUCCAGGACAACUAACAACCGUGGAGCACUGCUCUCCCUGGUCAGGUGCAAUGGAUCUAAACGAGCACUUACCAGGGUCUGGAGAGCAUCCCAUUGCAGGGAGGCAGAGCUGUGUUGUGCUGGUCCCUGGGUUCUUUCUUCGCCACAGUGAAUUGCUAGAUGAUUUGAGCUAGAAAACGCAGACACUUCUCUCCUUCCAGAGCAUCUCCGCAGCAUUUCAGCUUCUCGGCCUCUCCUGAGUGCAGGCCAGGGACGCAAGGUGCAAAUGCGUCUGGAUGUCCCAUUUGCCCCUCCAGGCUGCUGGGCUACCUAGAGACUGGUUUGACUCUGAGUGGAAGCUGAUGCAGCCCCAGAGGUGGUUCUAAUUUAUGUCCAGUCAGCAACCCCAUGCACUCCCUCUCAUAACAUGCCCCCGCCUGCCCCUAUGCCAGCAGCUCCGAGGGGCUGGUACAGGCUGCCCUGGGGAGUGAGGAGAUCCAGUCCUUUUAUGCUACAGGACUGACAUAAAGGGCCACAGUGCAGCCCAGUAUUGAGGCUCUUGGGUUUGGUCUGUUCCUCUUAAGUCUCUUUCGCCCCAAGCUUUAACUCUCUUGCUCUCUGGUCCUCUUCCCCUUACUCUGUGCCUCCCAGCUGUCUCUGAUUCUGAGCUGUUGUCUGCCCACUGGCUGUGGGAGGAGCACAAAGACAGGUAGGGUAUGUCUACACUGCAAUUAUAUACCCCCGUGCCAGCUGACUCGGGCUCAGGGGCAGUUUAACUGCGGUGUAAAUGUUCAAGCUGGGGUUGGAGCCUGGGAUGGUCAGCAAGGCCUCCAUCUCUGUGGCACGGCUGCCAGCAAUGCCUGGGAGGGUCAAGAAGGGUCACACGCCCCUCCCCAGAUGCCUGGGGGGGGGCCACAUUCAGCAGGGAACUGCAGCGGCGAAAGGAGCAGAAAGUGGGGUCACUCCUUUGGCACGGCUGUACUGUCCGCAGCCCUGCCCCCCAGGCCUUCUAUGCAGCUGCGUCUCAUGGGGUCUGUACAGCCCCGCCGCAAGACAGGGCUGGGGGCAAUACCGGUACAGCCAUGCUGGAGGAGCUCCUGGCGUGGAGCUGUCCUCCUUUCGCCUGAAAUCGGUAUCCAGCGCAGCGGGAGGACAGAGCCUCCUCUCCCCUGGUAACGUGGGACAGGGAGAGUGUGGGGGCCUGGGCUUAGGGUGACCAGACAGCAAGUGUGAAAAAUCGGGACGGGGGGUGGGGGUAAUAGGAGCCUAUAUAAGAAAAAGACCCAAAAAUGGGGACUGUCCCUAUAAAAUCGGGACAUCUGGUCACCCUACCCGGGCUGGGGGCGGAGCGGGGAGGAGUCACAUGAGGAGGUCACGUGUCCCCCUUUAGCUGGUGCCCCCCUUUGUGUCCCUCCAAUGAGUCACCCAUUUGGACCUGACAUUAAUGCAGAGUGUGACCAAUAUACCUGGAAUUCAAGGGAGGAGAACACCCCAGCCUAAGCCACUUUCUCAGCUGAUCCAGCUAACGAGUAAUUAGGCUUCACCUCAACAAUUGUUGGGUCUUUCUAGGAACUUCGGCGCUUUUCCUAGCAGCUUCUCUCUUGAUUUCGGAGGUGGAAAAUCAGGAGCUGGCCAAAGUCAAGUGUCUGAGUAGAUUCUUAGCUUUUUCUGUAACAAAAGCCUUGCCUAGUUUAUUUGUCUUACUGCUCAUCUAUCUGCAUUGGGAGCUAGAGUGGGGCUGAGACCCCAGUGGCCUGGCGAAAGCUAUGCUUGCAUGGAGGAAAGAUACCCCUGCAGGGAAAGCAAAGGCUGAGAGGCAGAAGCAAAGGUUCUAGUCCUGGUUUGGCCGGAACCUUACGAGGCUGAUAUUGAGCUAGUGGCUUAAGCUUAAGCCAACAUGUCAGGCUCAGUCCAGGUGGGCCCUGGCUUUUCAGAAGUGCUGAGGCCCAGAUCCACAAAGGUAUUUAGGUUCCUAUCUGCCAUUGCAAUCCAAAGGCGUUAGCUGCCUCAAUACCUGAGAUCCAUGCCUGAGCACCCACAGCUCCCAUUGAAAUCUGUGGUGAUGAGCACCAUAGAAAUGCCUAUCAGUAAAGUGUCACCUGGCUACAGCAUUCUCCUCCACUCCUGGCCCCUGAGGAUGGCUUCUGCCUGCCACGCCCGGGAAGGCUGCAUUUCAGGGCGGAUGAACUGAUCCCGGAGGACCUCAUCUGUCAUUAUGUUGUCAUGUGCUGCGGGCUUUGGCUGAAGGAUGUUGGACAAGUGUCAGUCGUCGUGGUUAUUACUGUUAUUACUCAUUUGGGUGAAGUGGCCCUGUGCAGUCUCAGGCUCUUGGCAUCCUGUAAUCAACAGCAUCUGCUUGGAGCUCACAGCCAGAGCCUCAGCCUGUUGGAUGCUUUCCUUCCUUGAUUUCAGUUCUAGCUCCAGACAGGCACCUGCGAGGCAAUCAGUACACAAACCCAGCAUCACAUGGAGCCAGCCCCGCUCCUUCAUCCCCAACCCCCCAUCAAUGCAGAGAAAGGAACAAAAAACAAAGGGGCAGCACAGAGAAAAACAGAAAAAAUAGGGGGAAAAUUGAGAGGCCAAAUCCAGCUUUGAUCUACACCCAGUAAAAUCACACUGACAAUAAUAGUGUAGCACUAUUGAGAGCUACCAGCUGACACUAUUGCAGAUAGCGUUACACGUUGGGUGUGAGAAGUUAGUUCAAGGAGAAAUGCUUAUUGUCAACUGUGGUGCAGUUCUCUUUAGAUACUGAUCAUGUUGCCAGUAAAGUUAGUUCUGCCAUGGUCUCUCUCUCUGAGUGAAUCACUUCUUAGGGGCACAGGCUAUAAGCUAUAUCCAGGCAA